rnacentral:rRNA from 1 species
CCUACGGGAGGCAGCAGUGGGGAAUAUUGGGCAAUGGGCGAAAGCCUGACCCAGCAACGCCGCGUGAAGGAAGAAGGUUUUCGGAUCGUAAACUUCUGUCCUAUGUGAAGAUAGUGACGGUAGCAUAGGAGGAAGCCCCGGCUAACUACGUGCCAGCAGCCGCGGUAAU